UACGGGGGGGGCAAGCGUUGUUCGGAAUUACUGGGCGUAAAGGGCUCGUAGGUGGCCAACUAAGUCAGACGUGAAAUCCCUCGGCUUAACCGGGGAACUGCGUCUGAUACUGGAUGGCUUGAGUUUGGGAGAGGGACGCGGAAUUCCAGGUGUAGCGGUGAAAUGCGUAGAUAUCUGGAGGAACACCGGUGGCGAAGGCGGCGUCCUGGACCAACACUGACACUGAUGAGCGAGAGCCAGGGGAGCAAACGGG
rnacentral:rRNA from 1 species